rnacentral:misc_RNA from 1 species
UAAUGCGACGCCCAGAACCCCACUCCCUCCAGAUACACGUACAACGGCAGUGCCUCGAGUCAACACUACCCGCUUGAUUGGUCCUCCUCAGAUUGACUGGGUGUUCGCAGGGACGCUCAUUGCACCAGCAAUUGACGUAGUAUUCUCCAUGUCCCAGAAGACGCAGGAGGUGCUCACGCAAGAGGAGAUCAACCUCCGAGUGCGCCAGGGUCUGCAGAGGCGCAAGAAGUGCGCCCUGUGCACCCAGAUCUUCUACGUGAACGAGCUGCCCGGGGCUAUCACGCACAAGUCCAUCUUAGAGCUGCGCCAGAAAUGGGGCAUGGAUGUGCGUCGAGGCGAGUACAUGCCACCGCCGUCGCAGCUGUACAAGCGGGAGGAGAUUUGCAUCUUCUGCAUGCAGUUCUUUGACACAACAGGAUCGAUGCAGACACAGCAGAAGCUACUGGCGUCCACCCGUGACGGCAUCUCACCGGCGCUGACAUUGCGGUAAGACCUCCAUAAAGGAGGAAGGCGAAAAAGGGCCAAUGGUUUGGGCUGGUGCAUUGGUGCAGACACGCACACACAGAUACACUCUUUCUCUGUGCGGGCGCCUUCUGGCAAGUGGGCAACACCGCCGCCCUUGUGUCCUGCUGUCACGCUUACCUCUGUGUGGAUCAGCAUUCUGCGUCCGCUUGCACUGCGCUUCUCUUGUAAAGCCCCUCCUUCCUUUGGUCUGUGCUUGGCGUUGCGGCGAGACCCACUCCGCCGUGAUGUUCACCUCUUUGUUUUCCUUGUGUGUGUGUGUUUGCUCUUCUCUCCUACCGCCCCGCCCCGCCCUCGUUGUGCGUGCUCGGUGCCACGGAUGUAGACCAGCGACGGAGAGAGCAAGAGUCUCUUGUAGCUAAUAUGUAUGUGCGUCUGUGUGAGUGCGUCACCUUCUAUGUGGGAGUGAGCGCGAGAUAGGCGUCAAAGCCGAUGAUGCGGCCCACAGAGCAGUCGUCCGUCUUCUCCGCCUCUCUCAACACCCGCCCGCUUUAUUUCCCUUUCUUGUGUUUCGUUGUUCCCCCCCCCCUCCCCCUCCUCCUCGCUUUUGCUGUGAUGAGGCGCGUUGUUGAGUGGAUGCUUAUGUGAUUGAGCGAUGGUCCGCCGGGGAGGCCCAUCCCAGCUACCCAAUCUAGGAAGCAAGCAUGUAGUCACCCACGUGCCAACCAGGGGCAGAGGGAGCAGGCGGGUUUGCUCCAAAGCGCCGCCCCUUCGUUGUCUGUCUCUCCUCUCCCCGGAAGCACGGCUCGACCUGCGAUGGCGACGCGGGACGAGAGGGGAAGGAGAAGAAAGAUGAUGUCAGAAAGGGCUCGCGAAGAGUCCUUCUGUGGGUCUCUCUCUGACCCCCAUGUCUGUCGCUGCCUUGUGCGCGUUGCCGACGCCUCCUCGCCUCGUCAGCGGCGUGCCUGCGUGCGCGCGUCUGCGAAG